rnacentral:rRNA from 1 species
GACGAACGCUGGCGGCGUGCUUAACACAUGCAAGUCGAACGGAAAGGCCCUGCUUUUGUGGGGUGCUCGAGUGGCGAACGGGUGAGUAACACGUGAGUAACCUGCCCUUGACUUUGGGAUAACUUCAGGAAACUGGGGCUAAUACCGGAUAGGAGCUCCUGCUGCAUGGUGGGGGUUGGAAAGUUUCGGCGGUUGGGGAUGGACUCGCGGCUUAUCAGCUUGUUGGUGGGGUAGUGGCUUACCAAGGCUUUGACGGAUAGCCGGCCUGAGAGGGUGACCGGCCACAUUGGGACUGAGAUACGGCGCAGACUCCUACGGGAGGCAGCAGGGGGGAAUAUUGCACAAUGGGCGGAAGCCUGAUGCAGCAACGCCGCGUGCGGGAUGACGGCCUUCGGGUUGUAAACCGCUUUCGCCGGUGACGAAGCGUGAGUGACGGUAAUGGGUAAAGAAGCACCGGCUAACUACGUG